rnacentral:rRNA from 1 species
GUGCAGCAGUCGAGAAACCUCCGCAAUACACGAAAGUGUGACGGGGCCAUCCCGAGUGCCGUCCGCUGAGGACGGCUUUUCCCAGUGUACACAGCUGGGGGAAUAAGGAGAGGGCAAGCCUGGUGUCAGCCGCCGCGGUAAUACCAGCUCUCCGAGUGGUGGGGACGCUUAUUGGGCCUAAAAGCAUCCGUAGCCGGUCUGGCAAAGUCCCUUGUUAAAAUCCAAACGAUUCAAAUCGUUGGACUGCAAGGGAUACUGCCAGACUAGGGGCGGAGAGGCCGACGGUGUUCCCGGGUAGGGUGAAAAUCCUAUAAUCCC